rnacentral:rRNA from 1 species
UACGGAGGGUGCAAGCGUUAAUCGGAAUUACUGGGCGUAAAGCGUGCGCAGGCGGUUAUGUAAGACAGAUGUGAAAUCCCGGGCCGCAUCAUCGGAGCUGCAUUUGUGACUGCAUAGCUAGAGUACGGUAGAGGGGGAUGGAAUUCCGCGUGUAGCAGUGAAAUGCGUAGAUAUGCGGAGGAACACCGAUGGCGAAGGCAAUCCCCUGGACCUGUACUGACGCUCAUGCACGAAAGCGUGGGGAGCAAACAGG